rnacentral:lncRNA from 10 species
AGCAGGAACUCAGGGAGUGAGCUACAAGUGUAUUAUGCUUCACCCAGAAGUUAUCAAGACUUUUUUGAAGCCAUCCGCAGAAGGGGAGACACAUUUUAUGUUGUGUCAUUUCGAAGGGAUCACCUGCUGUUACCAGCUACCACCCAUAACAAGACCACAAGACCAAAAAUGUCAAUUGUGUUACCAGCAAUAAACAUAAAUGGUAAGUUGAAAUUCUGAUGUAUGAACAAUAUGAGAUUUCUUUGUUUAACCAGGAUUCUCUUCAUUAGUUCAAAGACAUUUAAAAUGUUCAGUUAAAUGAGUAUAUAUCCGUACAUUAUUUCUGAAACAUUUUUCCACUGUUUUAUUAUUUUUAAGAUCCAUUAUUCUUUUAAAAAAAAUUACUACAUCCCUAAAAGAAAAAGUAGCUUUCUUUUACUUACAAAAUUGGAAAAGCUAGCAUCUUGACUGCUCUACAGACUUGCAUCUGCGACCCUUCUAGUCAUAAAUGUAGUGUAAGAAGCCCCUGCUGUGUUCUGACAGUGAAUUUGUAAAUUAGAUUUUUGGAACUCAAAGCAGUUUCCUGUGUUACCUAAAUGUUGAUAUCAUCCUAGACCAUGCCACAGAAGCCUGUUUAUGUUUAAUUGAUAAUACUGAUGAGUUUGACACUGAUAGUAUUACUAUUGCAUUUUGUUAUAUUACUAGCCCUGGACAUUAAACAAAAUACAAAUAAUAAUAUAAUGCACAGAUGUUAAGGCAUAAUAUACCUGCUUAUAGUUUAG